rnacentral:lncRNA from 1 species
UUUUUUUUUUAAUGUGGAAUGCUACUUAGCAUAUUCUUUAAUGUAAUUUUCUUUAUUAUGGCAUGAAUGUUCAGAUCCGAAAGAUUCAAGAUAAAAGUUUAAUAUUGACAUGAAAAUAAUAAUACUUCAAGCAUACUAACAAAGCAAUCAUGUCUUCUCAAAAUAACAUGGCCAAAGAAAGUUAUCCCUACAAAAUCAUAUAGUCUGGCUAUGUUCUAUCUUCACCACACAAAGUAUUUAAAUCAUGCACAACCCCGAUGACAAGCCAAGCAAUUGUUUCAUACUUUUGAUGUCCUCAAACUUUUUCAAUCUUCACGCAAUACAUGACGUGAGCCAUGGACAUAGCACUAUAGGUGGAAUAGAAUGGUGGUUGUGGAGAAGACAAAAAGGAGAUGAUAGUUUCACAUCAACUAGGCGUAUUAACGGGCUAUGGAGAUGCCCAUCAAUAGAUAUCAAUGUGAGUGAGUAGGGAUUGCCAUGCAACGGAUGCACUAGAGCUAUAGGUGUAUGAAAGCUCAACAAAAGAAACUAAGUGGGUGUGCAUCCAACUCGCUUGCUCACGAAGACCUAGGGCAUUUUGAGGAAGCCCGUCAUUGGAAUAUACAAGCCAAGUUCUAUAAUGUAAAGUUCCCACUAGUAUAUGAAAGUGACAAAAUAAGAGACUCUCUAUCAUGAAGAUCAUGGUGCUACUUUGAAGCACAAGUGUGGAAAAAGGAUAGUAGCAUUGUCCCUUCACUCUUUUUCUCUCAUUUUUUUAUCUGGGCCUUCUCUCUUUUUUUGGCCUCUUUUUUUUCUUUCGUCCGGAGUCUCAUCCCGACUUAUGGGGGAAUCAUAGUCUCCAUCAUCCUUUCCUCACAUGGGACAAUGCUCUAAUAAUGAUGAUCAUCACACUUUUAUUUACUUACAACCCAAGAAUUACAACUCGAUACUUAGAACAAAAUAUGACUCUAUGUGAAUGCCACCGGCGGUGUACUGGGAUAUGCAAUGAAUCAAGAGUGACAUGUAUGAAAGAAUUAUAAAGGUGGCCUUGCCACAAAUACGAUGUCAACUACAUGAUCAUGCAAAGCAAUAUGACAAUGAUGAAGCGUGUCAUAAUAAACAGAACGGUGGUAAGUUGCAUGGCAAUAUAUCUCGGAAUGGCUAUGGAAAUGCCAUAAUAGGUAGGUAUGGUGGCUGUUUUGAGGAAGGUAUAUGGUGGGUAUAUGAUACCGGCGAAAGGUGUGCGGUAUUGGAGAGGCUAGCAAUGGUGGAAGGGUGAGAGUGCGAAUAAUCCAUGGACUCAACAUUAGUCAUAAAUAACUCACAUACUUAUUGCAAAAAUCUAUUAGUUAUCGAAAUGAAGUACUACGCGCAUGCUCCUAGGGGGAUAGAUUGGUAGGAAAAGACCAUCGCUCGUCCCCGACCGCCACUCAUAAGGAAGACAAUCAAUAAAUAAAUCAUGCUCCGACUUCAUCACAUAACGGUUCACCAUAUGUGCAUGCUACGGGAAUCACAAACUUUAGAACAAGUAUUUCUCAAAUUCACAACUACUCAACUAGCAUGACUCUAAUAUCACCAUCUUCAUAUCUCAAAACAAUUAUCAAGUAUCAAACUUCUCUUAGUAUUCAAUGCACUUAUAUGAAUGUUUUUAUCAUAUCCAUCUUGGAUGCCUAUCAUAUUAGGACUAAUUUUAUAGCCAAAGCAAAUUACCAUGCUGUUCUAAAGGACUCUCAAAAUAAUAUAAGUGAAGCAUGAGAGAUCAAUAAUUUCUAUAAAAUAUAACCACCACCAUGCUCUAAAAGAUAUAAGUGAAGCGCUAGAGCAAAAUUGUUUAGCUCAAAAGAUAUAAGUGAAGCACAUAGAGUAUUCUAAUAAAUUCCGAAUAAUGUGUGUCUCUCUCAAAAGGUGUGUACAGCAAGGAUGAUUGUGGUGAACUAAACAAAGACUCAAAUCAUACAAGACGCUCCAAGCAAAACACAUAUCAUGUGGUGAAUAAAAAUAUAGCUCCAAGUAAAGUUACCGAUGAACGAAGACAAAAGAGGGGAUGCCUUCCGGGGCAUCCCCAAGCUUAGACUUUUGGGUUGUCCUUAGAUUUUACCUUGGGGUGCCUUGGGCAUCCCCAAGCUUAGGCUCUUGCCACUCCUUGUUCCAUAAUACAUCAAAUCUUUACCCAAAACUUGAAAACUUCACAACACAAAACUUAACAGAAAAUCUUGUGAGCCCCGUUAGCGAAAGAAAAGAAAACACCACUUCAAGUUACUGUAAUGAACUCAUUAUUUAUUUAUAUUGGUGUUAAACCUAAUGUAUUCCAGCUUCUCUAUGGUUCAUAACCUCCGAUAAUAGCCAUAGAUUCAUCAAAAUAAGCAAACAACACACGAAAAACAGAAUCUGUCAAAAACAGAACAGUCUGUAGUAAUCUGUACCUAACACAAACUUCUGGAACUUCAAAAAUUCUAAAAUAAAUUGCUGGACGUGAGGAAUUUGUCUAUUAAUCAUCUUCAAAAAUAAUCAACCAAAUAUCACUCUCCAGUAAAAAGUUGUAGCUAAUCUCGUGAGCACUAAAGUUUCUGUUUUUUACAGCAAGAUCAAAAAGACUUCACCCAAGUCUUCCCAAAGGUUCUACUUGGCACAAACACUAAUUAAAACAAAAAACCACAUCUAAACAGAAGCUAGAUGGAUUAUUUAUUCCUAAACAGAACCAAAAAUCAAUAAACAAAAAUAAAAUUGGGUUUCCUCCCAACAAGCGCUAUCGUUUAAUGCCCCUAGCUAGGCAUAAAGGCAAGGAUAGAUCUAGGUAUUGUCAUAAUGAUAGUAGGGUAAAUCACGAAAACUCAUCUCAUAUUCCCUACGUUCAGCAGCAAGUUUUCUUUGUGGCAAACAAAAGCAUUCAAAAGGGCUAAAUUUAAUGGGACAAAAGUCCCCAAGAUCAAGCUCGGGAGGUAUGGGUUCCUCCUUUGGCCCUUAUAUUGCACAACCAAUUCAUCAUUAUAAGCAUUCUUUUGGCAAUAAGUCAUGAGCCUUUGUUCAAGAGAAAAACCUAACCCGUUAUUCUGAAUAGCAAAGUCAUCAUUAAGUUCAGAAAUUCUAUCAACUAGAACAUCGGUAGGAACCUUUUUUCUAAGGUUUUCAUUGUAAGCAACAUGAUCUAAGGAUCGUAAGCGCAUUAAGUCGUCUUGAUGAAAAAGGAUAGCCUCUAUGGGAGGACGACCAGCGUCCACCCUAUAAUGCGCAAAAAAAUUAUUGGCCUCUUUCAUUAUAAAUCUGAACUCAUGUGCCAAAAAGAUAGUAGCCGCUCGCUUAACAGAAGAAUGCUCGAUAUUGGAGAACUCUAGAAAAAUCCUUUGUAUGCAAGGAUGCAAAUGAAUAAAUUGUCUUUCAAGUUCGACUACGAGCAAGGAUAUAGCCUCCGCAAGACUACUAGUUCUAUGAAGAAUAGACCCACCCAUAGAGGGUAAGGUACCGGCACAAGUAAAGAAAUCUUGAAGAACUCCUUUCCCAAUAAUAUUACCGCUACCAAUCUGAAACUUUUAAGUGUGUAAAAUAGUAGGAUCUUCAAGAGGAUCAUCAAAAACAUCAAAGUUUUCCAUACUAUUAUCCUUAUCAACGAUAACCUCCCCAGUUUCAGACAUGACGGCAGUACAAAGAACGAACACACAGGAAGCAAGCGAAAAAGAGGCGAACGGAAAAAGAGGGCGAAUAAAACGGCAAGGGUGAAGUGGGGGAGAGGAAAACGAGAGGCAAAUGGCAAAUAAUGUAAUGCGAGGGAUAAGAGUUUGUGAUGGGUACUUGGUAUGUCUUGACUUGUGCGUAGACUCCCCGGCAACGGCGCCAGAAAUCCUUAUUGCUACCUCUUGAGCAUGCGUUGGUUUUUCCCUUGAAGAGGAAAGGGUGAUGCAGCAAAGUAGCGUAAGUAUUUCCCUCAGUUUUUGAGAACCAAGGUAUCAAUCCAGUAGGAGGCCACACUCAAGUCCCUCGUACCUACACAAACAAAUAAGAACCUUGCAACCAACGCGAUAAAGGGGUUGUCAAUCCCUUCACAGCCACUUGCAAAAGUGAGAUCUGAUAGAGAUGAUAAGAUAAUAUUUUUCGUAUUUUUAUGAUAAAGAUUAAAAGUAAAGAUUGAAAAAUAAACGGCGACAGAAAUAGCUAUUUGACGGGAGAUUAAUAUAAUGGAAAAUAGACCCGGGGGCCAUAGGUUUCACUAGUGGCUUCUCUCAAGCUAGCAUAAGUAUUACGGUGGGUGAACAAAUUACUGUCGAGCAAUUGAUAGAAAAGUGCAUAAUUAUGAGAAUAUCUAGGCAUGAUCAUGUAUAUAGGCAUCACGUCCGCAACAAGUGGACCGACUCCUGCUUGCAUCUACUACUAUUACUCCACACAUCGACCGCUAUCCAGCAUGCAUCUAGAGUAUUAAGUUCAUAAGAACAGAGUAACGCAUUAGGUAAGAUGACAUGAUGUAGAGGGAUAAACUCAAGCAAUAUGAUAUAAACCCCGUCUUUUUAUCCUCGAUGGCAACAAUACAAUACGUGUCGUUUCCCCUACUGUCACUGGGAUCGAGCACCGCAUGAUUGAACCCAAAGCUAAGCACUUCUCCCAUUGCAAGAAAGAUCAAUCUAGUAGGCCAAACCAAACUGAUAAUUCGAAGAGACUUGCAAAGGUAACCAAUCAUACAUAAAAGAAUUCAGAGAAGAUUCAAAUAUUGUUCAUAGAUAAUCUUGAUCAUAAACCCACAAUUCAUCGGAUCUCGACAAACACACCGCAAAAAGAGUUACAUCGAAUAGAUCUCCAAGAAGAUCGAGGAGAACUUUGUAUUGAGAUCCAAAGAGAGAGAAGAAGCCAUCUAGCUAAUAAAUAUGGACCUGAAGGUCUGUGGUAAACUACUCACACAUCAUCAGAGAGGCUAUGGUGUUGAUGUAGAAGCCCUCCGUGAUCGAUGCCCCCUCCGGCGGAGCACCGGAAAAGGCCCCAAGAUGGGAUCUCACGGGUACAGAAGGUUGCGGUGGUGGAAAUAGGGUUUCGUGGUGCUCCUAGAUGGUUCGGGUGCGUAGGUAUAUAUAGGAGGAAGAAGUAGGUUGGUGGAGCUACGAGGGGCCCACGAGGGUGGGGGCGCGCCCAGGGGGCCCAAGUCCUAUGGAUCACGUUUGUUCCAAAAAUAACUCUCCUGAAGGUUUCAUUCCAUUUGGACUCCGUUUGAUAUUCCUUUUCUGCGAAACACUGAAAUAGGCAAAAAAACAGCAAUUUGCACUGGGCCUUGGGUUAGUAGGUUAGUCCCAAUAAUAAUAAUAAAGUGUAUAAUAAAUCCCAUUAAACAUCCAAAAUAGAAUAUAUAUAUAUAUAUAUAUAUAUAAUAGCAUGGAGCAAUCAAAAACUAUAGAUACGUUGGAGACGUAUCACUGCCCUUGGACGACUCCGGGUGGUCGCAGCCGCGCUUCAUCUCAGGUUCGGCCGCGAGCACCGCUGGACCCUUGCGCUUCAUGUCCUUUGCCUUGGCUUUCUUGUCUUCUGGGUCGGCCUCCGGAAGCUCCAGGAGGGAGACGCGACCUUCCUCGGCCCUCGCGCACCUGGUUGCCAUGUUGAACAUCUCCAGAGCCGAGCACAGGUCCUCGUGUAUGGCGAGCUCUUCCUUCAUCUUGACAUCGCAGAUGCAAUCGGUGAACGCCGAAAUGAUGGCCUCAUCCGAUACCCGAUCUUGAGGCGAACGUUGCUGAAGCGCUGGCUGUAUUUGUGCAAGAUCUCUCCUGGCUGCUGCUUGAUGUGUCCUAGGUCACCCGCAGCCGGUGCACGGUCGCGAGUGCCCUGGAAGUUGGCGAUGAAGUGCUCCCGCAUGUCGUCCCAGGAGGAGAUCGAUCCCGCAGGGAGGUUUAGGAGCCACGAGCGUGCGCCAUCCUUGAGGGCCAUGGGGGGCCAGUUCGCCAUGACCUUCUCAUCGUUGUUGGUCGCCUUGAUGCUUAGCUCGCAGAGCUGCAGGAACUCGGUUGGGUCGGGGGUGCCUUCGUAGCGUGGAGGCAGGUCUGGCUUGAACUUCUCCCUAGCCAGACGACACGGCGCACCUCCGGGGUGAACGAGCGGCAGCCUGCCACACUCACCGGGGGCCGCCGUGGAGGUGGAGCCUGAUCUUGGCGCUCGCGCACCGCUGCCUCAGGCGGCACGCGGUCUUGAUGUGGCGGUGGUGGGAGCGCACGCGCAUCUCCUUGUAGCCGCUGCACCACCUGACAGCUUUCCUCAUCGCGCGCCGGCGCCCUGCGCAGCGGGUCGCGCCGUGGAGCCUCACGCCUUGGCUCGAGGACGACGUCUUGCUUGGGAGGAGGAGGAGGCGCACCAUGGGCCACGUCGCCCGCAAGGGGCGGCGGGGGCGGCAGCGAGCGGGACGGUGCAAGGGCCUCUCCGGUGGCGCUGACGAGAUCGGCGAUGCAGUCCAGCCAGUCCUCGUAGAGGUCAUCGGUCGGGUGAUAGCGCAGGAGCUCACGUGUCAUGUGCAACGCAGCCUGCACAUUCGCCGGCCCACGACGAGCGUGAGAAGAUGAAGCAGCCGCCAGGGUCUCAGCGACGGAGUGGGGUGCACCCAUCACGCCGCACGGAAGGCUGCAGCAAUGAAGCCUGCUGCUCAUGGGCCGUGGGGCCGAUGGCAGCGUUGGCCACAGGCGAUGGGGAACGGCGGGGAGCUCCACAACCUGCAGGCGCUGUCUGGGUGACGCGGGCGGCGAGGGCGGCCCAGCACUCAGCACGAACUCGACGAGCAUCAGCCAUGGGGACGGCGAAACAGUGGCGGAUCGACCGGAGGAAGAGAGGCUCCGACGCACCCCUACCUGGCGCGCCAAAUGUCGGAUAGGGGGCUCCGCAGACCUAAGAUAGAUCUGAACUCUGGGGUGUGUGCGAAGAACUCAACCUCCCCAGUCUGCCUACCCGUCAAUCUCACGUCCUAGCUCGAUGAACUGGAAGUAAGUGGAACAAGGCAAUUUACCCAGGUUCGGGCCACCUUGCGGUGUAAAACCCUACUCCUGCUUUGUGGUGGAUUGGCCUCGAGGUGGGCUGAGGAUGAACUAGUACAGUGGGAGAACAACCUCUGGAGGUGUGUUCUUGUGCUCGUGUGGGUGAGGAUGGUCUGAAUGAUCCGUCCCCAUCUAAGGUGGUGGCUAGGCUAUAUUUAUAGUGGCCUUGGCCCUCUUCCCCCAAAACGAAGGCGGGAAGGGAUCCCACAAUGGCCAAAUUCGAAGGGAAACAACUAGUACAUCUUAUCCUGACGAAAGGUUGUCUGCGCCUGCAAAGCUUCUGGUCGUGACGCUGUGGUGGGCUCGGCAAUGACCUCCGUCUUGGCGGUCUUGUUCUUGUUGCACGGGAAACCUUUGGCUGAUUCCUCGGGACUCCGCGCCUACGCUUGCCUCUUUAGCACCAAAUAGGAAACCUGCUAUACUGCACCCGCUGGCGCCCGCCUGGCCUUGGUCGUCAUGGCUCGCGUCAUCCAAACCUCACGAGAUGAGGGCUUGCAUAGAAAUCUCCGUUCCUCAGGAGCCAACCUAAUGAGGCUGCUCCUUUUGGAGGCCUUGACGUCGUCCGCCUCAUGAGGCUUGGCCCCUCGCAAGGGUCUUGUGUUGUUGCCGCUGAAGGUGGGUCAUACCAGGCCGUUGAUGGAGCCAUGCCGUGGGCCGCGGACAGGCAAGUCUGGGUACCCCGGUUCCCAGAAUGCCGACAGGAUCUCCCGCGGAAGUCGCUGGCCCCUUUGACAUCUGCCUCGAACGGUACUACCCCUCCCCUGAGCGGUACUACCACUUGUAGGCGGUACUACCGUGGGAGGUGCGGUACUACCGCUCUGAGCUUCCAACUUCAGAUUUUCUCCAUUUUAUCUUCACUCUUGUGUAUCUUUUUCUCUUGGCUUAUGCAAUUUGUCUCUUUCUUGUUCUUGUUUGUGUGUUCUAGGUGGUAGUAGCUCCGGACAUCAGGUCGUCGCAAGAACCCCGCCCUUACCGAUGGCUCCAAGCGCUACCGUUCUGCAAAUGUGCCUGUAGGCAGCACCAUUCCAGAGGGUGGCUUUGUGCCUGCUCAUGCCUCUGGUGAAUAGCCAAGACAGAGAGUCAAAGUGGUUGCAACCAAGAACAAGGGGCCCAAGGGUGCUCAUCAGAUGUCUGCUUUGGAGUUUGGUACAGCUCAUAAGCGCAAUCCGUACCGGGAGCCUCAAGAUCCUGCUCUUUUUCAUCAUAUGUUCUGGAACAUGUUUCAACAGUCCAUCUUCCAUGAUGUGUUGAAGACUAAGAAGAAUAUGUAUGUGAAAGUGAAGUCAGUUGAUCUCUCUCACAUGGAGACGGACUUGCCUUACUUUUGAGAGGAUCUUCAGAGGUGCGAGGAACUGGAUAUCAAGAGGAUCAUAUCAUUCAACAAGGAUUUUGAUGCGGAUCUUGUGGCCCAAUUCUAUGCCAUAGUUCACUUUGGGCAUGAUGAGGACAGGACCCUCUCCUGGAUGACAAAUGGACAACGCUUCUCUGCUUCUUGGAAGAACUUUAUGGCGUUGAUGUCUUAUGAGGAUAAGGGCGCCCAAACCCCAGUUGGGUUUCGCCCUCACCGGGAGGCCACUGCUACUCACAAGGAGGCUCUGUGGCAGUUCUCUACCCGGAAGGUUUCUGAGACUAGACAUGUCUCCUAUGAGCUUUGGCCUUUUCUGGAUAUCAUGCACAGGAUCUUCAGGAACACUCCAUUCCCUCGGGUUGGAAAUCAGGAUAUGGUGCAUUCCUAUCUGCUGGAACUUCUUCUCUUCUGCCAGAAGGAGAAGGGCUCUCAGGAAGUUCUAGAUGUGUCUCGUGUCAUGCGGUCGAAGCUCCGGUGUGCGAUCUUGGAGUGCAAGUGCAUCAUUUAUGGCCCUUACCUGAUGCAGCUCAUUGAGGAGACAUGGGCAUCUACGUUUCCAGAUGAGGAGCUUCUCACUGGAGACCUAGAGUCUCAUGAUGUUGUUUAGUUGAGGCAGAAGGAGAAGUGGGGAAUGGCAGCUUCUGCCCCACAAGUAUGGUAUGGGGAUGAUGAAGAUGAUGAGCCUGGCUAUGAGCCGUCGGAGGAGCCAUCUUGGGAUAAGAACCUAAAGCAGAUGAUGAAGAAGCUCUUUUGUCUCCAGGCCAAGGGACAGUACAAGGCUCAUGUUGCUGCUAAGAAGGCCCGCUGCCGUGACAAGGCCAUUAUGGGGCAGGUUGGCCUCACCGUGUCUGAUGGCUCUGAGGAGAGGAUAACUGAUGAGGAGGCUUGGGUUCAUGUGCACUGCCAGUGGACUGAUUCAGAUGAUGGUACUGGAGGCCCUUCAGCUGCUGCCGCAGAGUCUGACGAGGAGGAGGAGCAUGAUUGGUGAUGUCGUGGAGUAUUGCUACCACCGUCAUGUUUAGGUGUCCUCUCUACUCUUUUGGUGUCUCGAUGCCAAAGGAGGAGAGAGUGUAGGGAUUUGCGGUGUGUUGUGAGUUGAGUGUGUUUCUCUUUUUGCAGUUGCUUUCCUCGCUCGAACUCGUUUGCUUUGGUUUGUGUUUGAGACCAUAUGGGGUGAGACAUAUGAGCUAAGCUAUCCAUUUCUAUCUAUGUCAAGUACUUUAUGUUAAGUAAUCGUUUGUGAGAUAUAUCUUGUGUAUGCUCUCAUUCAUAUGCUCACAUAGUUUCUCUUGCAUGCUUUCAUCUUACUAUCUAUGCAAGUACGGUUUGGUCUAUAAAAUAUAGGGGGGGUGGAUCCUAUAUGUGUGCAUUUUGCAUUCCAAAAGCAUAUCUAAACUAGUGCACACAUCUAGGGGGAGCAUGUCUAUAUUUUGUAGAUUGUGGGGUUUGCUCAUCUCUUAUUGUUAUAUCUUCUGUGCAAAUCCCUCGUCAUCAGUCCACCAAAAAGGGGGAUAUUGUUAGGGCAUAUUUCUCCCUAAGUGGUUUUGGUAAUUGAUGACAAUAUGUUUGCGGACUAAUCGUGUGCACUAAGCUUUUCAGAUUAUCAAGCAUAUAGCACAAGACGAUUCGUGCCCCUCGGAGUUUCAAGAGAAGACGGUUUUCUUUCCCGCGGUUCUUUUCUGGUGGACUUGAGUCGUAGGGAAAACCGUACUAUCAAGAGGGGGUCCACGUCGAAAGGUUUGGGUGGAAUCAACACGUACACAUUCAUCUUGCACCCAUCAACCCCUUCCGCGUCUUUGGAGUUGUCCUUGUUUUGCUUUGAAGUAGGGGAGAAGAGCCACAAGCGGUAGUACCGCUAGCUGCAGCGGUAGUACCACUGUAACCACCGUUCUCACUACUGCUCGUGGCUAGGACCUCGAUUUUUCGUGUCGGGCUCUACGGUGGUGCCUCCGGGUUACUACCGUGCUACUCGUUCGUCCCCAGAAUUUGGGCGGUUGUAGCAGCGGUAGUUAGGGAGGUAGUACCGCUCCUACUACCGCGGCCACCACCGCCCGGCUCUCUGGUUUUCCCCUAUUCCCCUUUGUCUCCUAUGCAUCCUUCAGGGUGCGGUAGUACCGCUCCUGGAGCAGUUGUACCGCUUGUCUGCGGGCUGAGAGAUGCAUAACGGUUGGAUUUGUCCCCCCACUAUAAAAGGGGGUCUUCUUCCCCAAGAAGACUCACCUCUUCCCCCCCCCCCAAGCUCCAUUAUUGCUCCAAAGCUCAUUUCCGCCCGAUCUCUCUCCCUAGCCAAUGAAACUUGUUUAUUUUCUAGGGAUUGGUUGAGAAGGCCUUGAUCUACUCUUCCACCAAGAGAAAUUUGAUUCCCCCAACUAAUCCCUUGCAGAUCUUGUUACUCUUGGGUGUUUGAGCACCCUAGACGGUUGAGGUCACUUCGAAGCCACAUUCCAUUGUGGUGAAGCUCUAUGGUAUCGUUGGGAGCCGCCAAUCAAGUUGUUGAGAUUGCUCCAACCUUGUUUGUAAAGGUCUGGUCGCCACCUUCAAGGGCACCACUAGUGGAAUCACCGCAUCUCGCAUUGUGUGAGGGCGUGAGGAUAAUACGGUGGCCCUAGUGGCUUCUUGGGGAGCAUUGUGCAUCCACAUCGCUCCAACGGAGACGUACUUCCCCCAAAGGGAAGGAACUUCCGUAACACAUCCUCGUCUCCACCGGCUCCACUUGUGGUUAUCUCUUCCCUUUACUUUGUGCAAGCUAUUGUUGUGUUGUAUCCUUUGCUUGCACUUCUUGUUGUUGUUGUUGUUGUUGUUUGCAUCAUAUAGGUUGCUCACCUAGUUGCACAUCUAGACAACCUAUUUGUUGCUAAACCUAUUUUGUUAAGAAAAUAUAAAAAUUGGUAGUUGCCUAUUCACCCCCCCACUAGUCAACCAUGUCGAUCCUUUCAAUUGGUAUCAGAGCCUCAUCUCUUUAUAUCUCAAAACAAAUGAAAGGAAUCAAACUUCUCAUAUAUUCAAUGCUCUUUAUAUGAAAGUUUUUUAUUAUAUCCCUCUUGGAUGCCCAUCAUAUUAGGACAAAAUUCAUAACCUAAGCAAAUUACCAUACUAUUUAUAAGACUCUCAAAAUGAUAUAAGUGAAGCAUGAGAGUUCAUCAAUUUCUUGAAAAUAAAACAACCGUCGUGCUCUAAAAAGAUAUAAGUGAAGCACUAGAGCAACUGACAAACUACUCCAAAAAGAUAUAAGUGAAGAUCAUUGAGUAGUUGAAUAAUUAUGUAGCUAUGUGAGGACUCUCUCUCAUUAAAUAAUUUCAUAUCUUAAUAUUUUAUUCAAAUGGCAAGCAAAAUGAAAUAAAAUGACAUUUCAAGAAUAGCACAUAUCAUGAGAAGAAGCAAAAACUUAGGCUCAACCGAGGCUAACUGAUAAUUGUUGAUGAAGAAAGGUGGGAUGCCUACCAGGGCAUCCCCAAGCUUAGAUGCUUGAGACCUCUCGAAAUAUUAUCUUGGGAUGCCUUGGGCAUACCCAAGCUUGAGCUUUUGUGUCUCCUUAAUUCCUUUUAUAUCACAAUUUCCCUAAAUCUUAAAAACUUCAUCCACACAAACUCAACAAGAACUCGUGAGAUAAGUUAGUAUAAAUCAAUGCAUAACCUUAUUAUUCUCUAGUGUAGCAAAUCACUAAAAUUAUUAUUUAGCAUUGCAUACUAAAUGCCUCUGCAUAUUUAAUACUCCUAUCCUCAAAUAGAAUCAUUAAACACGCAAACAUAUGCAAACAAUGCAAACAUAACAGUAAUAUGUCUAAACAGAACAGUCUAUAAAGAAUGCAAGAGGAAUCAUACUUCCCUAACUCCAAAAAUUCUGAACAAUUAUCACACUGUAGAAAAAAAAAUAUUGCUCAACGUGUAAAAAUUUCAAGAUUUUAUCAUGCUCUGAGUUUCCAGAAGAAUUCAGACAAUGAUAGAAAACUUUCUGUUUUCAAAACAGCAACAUAUAGACUUGCAAAAUAAGCAUGGUAAAGGCUAUACUUGACACUUUUAUUGAAAUAAAAGAUGCAAAACAUUAUUCUAAAUAACAGCAACCAAAUCCUAAUAAAAUAAAAUAAUGCUCCAAUGAAAACUCAUAUCAUGUGACGAAUAAAGAUAUAGCUCCAAGUGAGGUUACCGAUAACGUUGGAGACGAAAGAGGGGAUGCCUUCCGGGGCAUCCCCAAGCAUAGUUGCUUGGGUAUUCCUUGAAUAUUACCUUGGGGUGCCUUGGGCAUCCCCAAUAUUAGGGUCUUGCCACUGCUUAUGCUCCUCAUGUCAAUAUCUCACCCAAAACUUGAAAACUUUAAUCAGACAAAACUUAACAAAACUUCAUGAGAUAGGUUAGUAUGACAAAACAAAUCAUUCACUUGGGUGUUGUCAAAGACAAGAUUCACAAUUUUUCUCACACAAUGCCUAAUUUACCUUAUCAUUUCCAUGAUUUAUGUCACUUACUAUAAGUCAUGGAAACACUAAAACAAGCAAACUAUGCAUUGAAAACAGAAUUUGUCAAAAACAGAACAAUCUGUAAUGAUCUGAACAAUGACCAUACUUCUGUAGAUCCAAAAAUUCUGAAAUACUAGGAAAACGUACGCAAUUUUUAUAACAAUCUUCUGUAAAAACUUCAGAAUUGUUCGACGCUCCACUGUUUUUUAACAAUUCUAUUACUGGGCGCAAAAGUUGCUGUUUUUGCAUAGAAUCAAGUCAACUAUCAUCCACACUAUCCCAAAGGCUUUACUUGGUACUUUAUUGAAACAACAGCUAUAAAACAUGAUUACUACAGUAGCUUAAUCAUGUGAACACACGAAAACAGUAGGUAUAAGAUUGGGUUGUCUCCCGACAAGUGAUUUUCUUUAAUGCCUUUGUAGCUAGGCAUGAUGAUUUCAAUGAUGCUCGCAUAAAAGAUAAGAAUUGAAACACAAAGAGAGCAUCAUGAAGCAUAUGACUAGAACAUUUAAUCCUAACCCACUUCCUACGCAUAGGGAUUUUGUGAGCAAACAACUUAUGGGAACAAGAAUCAACUUGCAUAGGAAGGCAAAACAAGCAUAACUUCAAGAUUUUCAACACAUAGAGAGGAAAGUUGAUAUUAUUGCGAUAUAUAUAAGCAUAUCUUCCCCUCUCAUAAUAUUUUUUAGUAGCAUCAUGAAUGAAUUCAACAAUAUAGCUAUCACAUAAAGCAUUCCUUUCAUGAUCCACAUGCAUACAAAAUUUAUUACUCUCCACAUAAGCAAAUUUAUUCUCAUCAAUAGUAGUGGGAGCAAACUCAACAAAAUAACUAUCGCAUGAUACUUGAUUGGGGUAAUCCAAUUGAAAAUUGAAAUCACGAUGACAAGUUUCAUGGUUAUCAUUAUUCCUUAUAGCAUACAUGUCAUCACAAUAAUCAUCAUAGAUAGCAACUUUGUUCUCAUAAUCAAUUGGAACCUCUUUCGAAAUAGUGGAAUCAUCAUUAAAUAAAGUCAUGACCUCUCCAAAUCCACUUUCGGAAUUAUAACAAUAAAAUUCAACACCCUCCAAAAUAGUGGGAUCAUUAUUUCCUAGAGUCGACACUCUUCCAAACCCACUUUCAUCAAUAUAAUCAUCAUAAAUAGGAGGCAUGCUUUUCAUCAUAAUAAAUUUUCUCAUCAAAACUUGGGGGACUAAGAAUAUCAUCCUUAUCAAACAUAGAAUCCCCAAGCUUAUGACCUUGCAUAUCAUUAGCAUCAUGGAUAUUCAAAUAAUUCAUACUAACAACAUUGCAAUCAUGCUCAUCGUUCAUGGAUUUUAUGCCAAACAUUUUAUUGACUUCUUCUUCUAACACGUUGGCACAAUUUUCCGAGCCAUCGUUUUCGAGAAAGACAUUAUAAAGAUGAAUUAUAUGUGCCAACCUCAAUUCCUUUUUUCAGUUUUAUUUUAUAAUACAAACUAGUGAUAAACAAGAAACUAAAAUAUUCAAUUGCAAGAUCUAAAGAUAGACCUUCAAGCACUCACCUCCCCGGCAACGGCGCCAGAAAAGAGCUUGAUGUCUACUAUGCAACCUUCUUCUUGUAGACUCGUGUUGGGCCUCCAAGCGCAGAGUUUUGUAGGACAGUAGCAAUUUUCCCUCAAGUGGAUGACCUAAGGUUUAUCAAUCCAUGGGAGGCGUAGGAUGAAGAUGGUCUCUCUCAAACAACCCUGCAACCAAAUAACAAAGAGUCUCUUGUGUCCCCAACACACCAAAUACAAUGGUAAAUUGUAUAGGUCCACUAGUUCGGCGAAGAGAUGGUGAUACUAGUGUAAUAUGGAUAGUAAAUAUAGGUUUUUGUAAUCUGAAAAUAUAAAAAAGCAAGGUAACUAGUAGUAAAAGUGAGUAAAAAAGUAUUGCAAUGCUUGAAAAUAAGGCCUAGGGUUCAUACUUUCACUAGUGCAAAAUCUCUCAACAAUGAAAACAUAAUUGGAUCAUAUAACAAUCCCUCAACGUGCAACAAAUAACCACUCCAAGGUUUCUAUCGGAGAACAUAGGACGAAAACGUGCAUCAACCCCUAUGCAUAGAUGUCACCUCGGGAAUCCGCGAGUUGAGUGCCAAAACAUACAUCAAGUGAAUCAAUAGAACAUCCCAUUGUCACCACAGAUAUCCCAUCGCAAGACAUACAUCAAGUGUUCUCAAAUCCAAUACUCAAUCCAACAUAAUGAAACCUCAAAGAGCAAGACUGAAUUCAUCACAAGUAGGUAGAGGGGGAACAACACCAUAAUAUCCAACUAUAGUAACAAAGCUCGCGGUACAUCAAGAUUGUGCCAAAUCAAGAACACGAGAGAGAGAGAGAGAGAGAGAGAGAGAGAGAGAUACAGAGAGAGAAAGAGAUCAAACAGAUAGCUACUAGUACAUACCCUCAGCCCCUCAUCAUGGUGGCCGCCGGGAUGAUGGACAUGGCCUCCGGUGAUGGCUUCCCCCUCCGGCAGGGUGCCAAAAUGGGCUCCCAACUGGUUUUUCGUGGCUACUGAGGCUUGUGGCGGCGGAACUUCCCAUCUGGGGUUCUUUAUGGAUGUUACGGGAUAUAUAGGGGUACUUGGCAUUGGAAACAAGUCAGGGGGUGCCCGAGGGGCCCACAAGAAGUAGGGGCACACCCUGGGGGGGUGGGCGCGCCCCCUAGCUUGUGGCCUCCUCGGUCGCCUCCUGACACAACUCUGGUGCUCCAUGGGUCUCUUCUGGUCCAUAAACGAUCACCAUAAAUUUUCAGCCCACUCCGAGAACUUUUAUUUCUGCACAAAAAACGACACCACAGAAGUUCUGCUGAAAACAGCCUUAGUCCAGGUUAUUUCUAAUAAAAUCAUACCAAAACCAUAUAAAAUUGUUGCAAACAUGGCAUGAAUACUUCAUAAAUUAUAGAUACGUUGGAGACAUAUCACUUCACCAUGAUUUGUGCCUAGGGGGAGGCAUUGGGAAGUAGCAAGUAGAUGUUGGGUUGCUAGAGGGACAGAGCUUAAACCCUAGGUUAUGCGUUGCUUCGUAAGGGGCUGAUUUGGAUCCACAUGUUUCAUGCUAUGGUUAGAUUUAUCUUAAUUCUUCUUUCGUAGUUGCAGAUGCUUGCGAGAGGGGUUAAUCAUAACUGGGAGGCUUGUCCAAGUAAGGACAGCACCCAAGCACCGGUACACCUACAUACCAAAUUAUCAAAGUAGCGAACGCGAAUCAUAUGAGAGUAUGAUGAAAACUAACUUGAUGAUAAUUCCCAUGUGUCCUUGGGAGCACUUUGCUUUAUAUAAGAGUUCGCCCAGGCUUGUUCUUUGUAUAAAAGGAUUGGGCCACCUUGCUGCACCUCUGUUACACUUGUUAUUUGUUACCCGUUAUGAAUUACCUUACUACCAAACUAUCUAUUACCGAUAAUUUCAGUGCUUGCAAAGAAUACCUUGCUGAAAACUGCUCGUCAUUUCCUUCUGCUCCUUGUUGGGUUCGACACUCUUACUUAUCGAAAGGACUACGAUUUAUCCCCUAUAAUUGUGGGUCAUCACCUCCUUCUGAAGCUUCUAGGGUCUCUUAUGUCCAGAAAAAAUCGUCAAAAAGUUUCGUGGCAUUUGGUCUUCGUUUGGUACUGAUAUCCUGGAAAACCAAAAACAGGAAAAAAAACUGCAACUGGCACGUGGCACUAAGUUAAUAGGUUAGUCCCAAAAAAUGAUAUGUAAUUGCAUAUAAAACAUCCAAGAUUGAUACUAUAAUAGCAUGGAACAAUAAAAAAUUAUAGAUACGUUGGAGACGUAUCAGUGAGCCUUUUUCUGGCCAACUGGGUUAGAGAUGGUGCUGACAAAGGUAGCCCAAGUAGAAUAGAUACCGUCAACUAGAUAGUAGCCCAUGUCCAUUGACACUAUAGUGGUAAGGAGGAACUUUUUCUUCAAUCAGCCUCGCAAACACCAGUGAUAAUCGCCACAGCACGUUGAUGUCGUUGUUGGAAAUAUGCCCUAGAGUCAAUAAUAUUGUAUUAUUAUAUUUCCAUAUUCAUAAUUAAGUGUUUAUAUUUCAUGCUAUAACUGCUAUGAUCCUGGAAUAUGUGAUUCAAUGGAAAACUCAUAUGCACGUGUGAAAUGAUAAACGAAUCGAAUAAAGGUUCCUAGUCUCACCUCUAAGAGUAGCUCAAGUGUUGUUGGUGAUCAUGUUUUCCGGAUCUUAGGGUAUCAUUAAGUGUAACGAUAGUCCUAAAACAACAUUGAGAUUAUGACGUUGGAAGAACGAUCAUAUUGAAUCGACCAGAACUUCUUUGUUAUGAAUUGAGAUAAUAUCAUCUGUAAUUAAUUAUAAUAACACGGAGUGUUAAUGUGUGAUUUUACUCCUUAGACUAUGAGAGUAUUGUGGUCACUUCUUACCAUAUGGUGGGCGUUGGGGUUGCUCAAACAUCACCUGUAACACAGCGAUCAUAAUGACAACUUACAGGUUCAUCGGAAAGUUUGACAAGUGGCGGGAUAGCUCGAGAGUGGGAUUUGCUCCUCCGGUGAUGAAGAGAUAUUCUUAGGGCCCUCUCAGUGUGACGACAUCCAUCAUCGUCCGUCCAGACAUAGGUGACUACAUCACGGGGAUGCCGGAACGUAAUAACGAGAAAGAAGAACAAAAUCGGUAACGAGGAUUUCAGUAUAGUGAGCACAGUGAUGACUCUGGAGGAUACCGAUGCAUCCCGGGUUUUGUAAAGUAUCGCGAAGCAAAGGGAACAUCACAUGAUAACCAUAGGUUCACUUGAGUAUCAUUCGUGUGCUCAUAGGGAUUGAUAUGGAUGUCCACUGUCCCGCUGUCAGUCAUUAAACGAACGAUUUCGUUCAUGUCUAUGUGUUAUCGAACCUACGGGGUCACAAGCUUAAGGCAAUCAUGAUCUGCUGAGUGUUAGUACGACGGGAGUAAUGAGAAUAUAUUUGUGGAUUUUUUUCAUUAAUAUUCGAAAUAGUUCUCAGAGGAUCAGGAAGCGUUUCGGGGUCACCGGAAGGGUUUCGGUGAAUAUCGGGUAAUACCGGGUAUUAUCGAUAAAUAUAUAUGUGUGGAAAAUGUUUUUGGGAUGUUAAAUUAUAUAUAAAAUGGUCUGAAAGUAUUUAUAAUAAUAUUAUAUUUAAUUUAAUAUCAACGGACCUAAAAAGGCUAAGAGGUGAAAGGCAACUUGGGCCACAAAGGCCCAAGUGGGAAGGCGCCUCCCUUCCCUAAGAAAGGAGGCUGAAUAGGAGUGGGGGAGGAGUCCAACUCCUCCUCCCCUUUGGCCGGCGCCCCAAGGAGGCUUUCCCUCCUUGGUGGAAGCCCUCUCUCUCCCCUCUAACCUAUAUAUACUUGAGGAUUUGUGCUCUUUUGGUACACAAGUUUUGGAGCCUCCUCUAGUUCUUCUAGUUCUUGUUCUAGUUGGUCCUAGUUGACUAAUUAGAGCUUGGCUAAUACUCUUGUCCUCAUAAUUAGAAGCCCUGUAUGGUUCUAAUCUCCUCCCUCUAAUUCUUCACCGACGAUUAGCUCUGGAUGGUGAAGCGUUGUUGGAUCGUGAAGGUUGCAUGCUUGCAACCAGGUAGAGAGGUCCUACUUUCGGUCUUCGUUCAAGGGACCGUUCGUGGGCGGUACGAGGGAUCGUUCAUUGAAGGUUCAAGGGAAUCCAAGUACGAUCUACACUGAUCUUCUGCCGCUGCAACUCGGUGACGGUAAUGAUCGUGAUCCCAACCCGUUAUGCAUCUUCGUAUUGAUCUUGGGUGAUAGUAGGCGCGAUUUUUUUUGUUUUCUACUACGUUUCCCAAUAGUCAUUGUGAGACCCGGACAUGCCAAAUCGAAAGAUCAUGUGAUGCAACUGCUUCAAGAAUGAUGGUGGGUUUCUUAACAUGAUGUAACACCCCGCAUGUAACUUGCCAUAUUUGUAACUCCGACUCUUGCCAUUUUCGGCAAUGUGAUAUGUUUUUCCCUCCGUUGUCGGGUUUUGUUUUUCGUUUUGUAUUUUGUCAUGUCAUGCAUUUUUAUAUCAUGUCAUCAUGUGCAUUGCAUUCGCAUACGUGUUCGUCUCAUGCAUCCGAGCAUUUUCCCCGUUGUCCGUUUUCCAAUCCGGCGCUCCUAUCUCCUCCGGUGCACCCCUCUAGUUUUCUUUCGUGUGCGUGUGUCAAACAUUCUCGGAAUGGACCGAGGCUUGUCAAGUGGUCUUAAUAUACCACCCGGAGUCUACCGGUCAAGUUUCGUUCCAUUCGGAGGUCGUUUGGUACUCCAUCGGUUAACCGGGCCUCCGCAAUGUCCAUUUGAGUAUCCAGCAAAAACCCCUCCAAAACCAGCCCAAAGCCCACCAAACUCUCUUCCAUGCUCUAGGUCGUUCGAUCACGAUCGUGUGGGCGAAAACCGCACCUCAUUUGGAGUCUCCUAGCUCCCUCUACCUAUAAAUGAGUGGGCAUCCCGAAAACGAAAUCUCAGANNNNNNNNNNGCCGCGCGCCCCGGCCGCCGCCGACCGCCGCCGCGCCCGCGCCUCUCCUCCUCCGGCCCGAGGCGCCGCCUCCUUCCUCUUCUUCCCCGGCCGCCGCGCCUUCCCCGCAGCUCCGGCGAGCUCCACCGGCUUCGGCCCGAUCCGGAUCCGCUCGAACACUGUACGUGCGUUGACCUCUCCCUCGCGACCGUUUUUUUCCAAGUCCCAGAUUUUUAUCAGCAAGUGCUCCUGUUCGAGAUGCGAUAACUUUGUGCAUGUAGCUCCGAUUUGCGCGUAUAAUAUGUAAAAUUGUUCCCCUCGUGAUGCUCUUCAUUUUGUUCAAUUGCACCAUUUUCAUUAGAGGUCAUCUUGAUGCCCAAAUAUUCGUUGGAAGAGGGCUAGUUGCUGUUAAUCUCUGGUUCUUGUCAGAACUUGGAGAUUUGUCAUUUUUGUAUCAUUUAAUCUGUGCAUCUUUUGGGCAUGAGCUCUACAUGUGUUUUUAAGUAUGCUAUUCCAUCUUUCCAGUGGUAUAGUACAUGUAUUUUUGUGGCCUUUGUGGUGACUAGCACAAGCAUGCAAAGUAGGCCCCGUAAUAUUUCUGAUUUCAGGGACUUAGUGAUUUCUCCAAGUCUUUGUCUGCUGUAAUUUUGUUGCCAUGUAAACUUGAUGCUAGAGAGAGAUCCAUGCAUAGUUUGGAGAUGUUCAGUAAGGAUGUUUUGUAGCUAUAGUUGUAAUUGAUCCAUUCCUGCAAUGUUUUGCAAUUUUAGAGUACCAUAGCAUGACUCAAUCUUUCUCUACUUUUGCUAUAAAAUAUUUCUGGCAGAUUCUUAACAUGAUUUGCAAUCUUGCCAAGCUUGUUGUAGUUGAUCCAUACAUGCUAUGCAAUUGUUCUUGCCAUGGUUAGCUUCAUAGACAUUCCAUCUUACUGUAGGUAUGCUUGGUUUGUCAUGCAUUGUUCUGUAGUGAGUGCAUCAAGCUCAUAAAGAGGCCUACAUAUUAAUAUUUCUGCCAUGCUCUGUUUUCUGCUAAGUCUGAAACCUGAUAACGAAACUUGCUAUGUUUACAUGCUUGCCAUCAUAUCUUCUGGUCCUUUUUGGCUUGUGGUCAGUAAGGGACUUUUGUCAUGUGCAUUUAGUAGAACACUACCAUGCCAUUUUUUGCUAUGUUAAGUUUCUUUAGCAUAUUGAUUUCGUGCUCUGAACAUUGCUACCUGAUGCUGAUUUCUACCAUGUCCAGUUUUUCACUAAGUCUGUGAACCUGUAAUCUUUUGCACUUUUGCCAUGCUUGUUUGAGCUUGAUAUGUUGUGAACUAGCCGUAGCUCAGUGUUCAUCUUUUNNNNNNNNNNUCUUAUUUAACCCCCCCACCCCCCCGGGCCAGUGCUCCUUCGAGUGUUGGUCCAAACUGAGCAGACUGCGGGGCCACCUCCUGGAAACUCGAGGUCUGGUUUUACUCGUAGGAUGUCUCAUCCGGUGUGCCCUGAGAACGAGAUAUGUGCAGCUCCUAUCGGGAUUUGUCGGCACAUUCGGGUGGCUAUGCUGGUCUUGUUUUACCAUUGCCGAGAUGUCUUGUAAACCGGGAUUCCGAGACUGAUCGGGUCUUUCCGGGAGAAGGUUUAUCCUUCGUUGACCGUGAGAGCUUAUGAUGGGCUAAGUUGGGACACCCCUGCAGGGUAUUAUCUUUCGAAAGCCGUGCCCGCGGUUAUGAGGCAGAUGGGAAUUUGUUAAUGUCCGGUUGUAGACAACUUGUCACUUGACCCAAUUAAAAUACACCAAGUGCGUGUGUAGCCGUGAUGGUCUCUUCUCGGCGGAGUCCGGGAAGUGAACACGGUAUGUGUUAUGUAUGACGUAAGUAGGUGUUCAGGACCUCUUCUUGGUCAUUGCUAGAUGACGUCCGUUCCUUUGCUUCUCUUCCCGCUCUCUUUUGCGCAAGUUAGCCACCAUAUAUGUUUUGCCGCUGCAGCUCCACCUCUUGCACCUCCUUGUCCUACAAGCUUAAAUAGUCUUGAUCUCGCGCGCGUGAGAUUGCUGAGUCCUCGUGACUCACAGAUACUUCCAAAACCAGUUGCUGGUGCCGACGAUGCCAGUGCAGAUGAUGGCGUCGAUCUCAAGUGGGAGUUCGACGAGGAACGUGGUCGUUACUAUGUGUCUUUUCCUGAUGAUCAGUAGUGGAGCCCAGUUGGGACGAUCGGGGAUCUAGCUUUUGGGGUUGUCUUAUUUUCAUCUGGAUUUUGACCGUAGUCGGUCUAUAUGAUUGUAUUUUGAAUGAUGAAUGAUGAUAUUUAUUAUGUAUUGUGUGAAGUGGCGAUUGUAAGCCAACUCUUUAUCCCAUUCUUGUUCAUUACAUGGGAUUGUGUGAAGAUGACCCUUCUUGCGACAAAACCACUAUGCGGUUAUGCCUCUAAGUCAUGCCUUGACACGUGGGAGAUAUAGCCGCAUAGUGGGCGUUACACAUGACCCUGAUAUUGCCCUUGUAAAGCCUUCGAGUAGUUCUUCCAUUUUCAAUGCAUACAGUGAAGAGACCCAAGCAAACCUGGCCACCCUCUUGCUUCUGAGAUUUCCAAGAGCCUCUUUGUGUCUGUCACAGUUGGUUCACUCAGGUACCGACGUCCGAACACCUCGACCACAACAGUUGCAAACUUGACCAUGACAUCUCUGCAUGUGCUCUCAGACAUUCGUAGGUACUCGUCCCACGAAUUAGCGGCCAUGCCAUAUGCAAGUAUCCAGAGUGCGGCCGUGCACUUCUGGUAACCAGAGAAGCCAAUCAUUCCCACAAUGUCCUUCUUCAAGACAAAGUAGUCAUCAUAGUACUGGACGCCAUGGUACAAACGACCGAAGACAGCCGUGCGCAUUCGAAAACGCCGAGGAAAAUGAUCAACGGAGAGUGCAUCUAGGGCAAAGUAGUCGGCCAGCAGCUCUUGCGGUUGAGCACUCGAUGACCCUUGACCGAGCCCUUGAAUUUGAGAACAUGCUCCUCCGCACGCUCCACAUCUUCAAGGACCGCCUGCAUCAUCACCGUCUCAUCCGAGUACUCCUCCUCAUAGGACGACUCAACAUAGUGCUCGUAUAUGUACUCCAAAUCGGAAUCCAUUGCUAGAAAGAAGAAGGGACAACUUUUUUAGCUCCGGCAAUUCAUCGAACAAGUGACGGGCAUGGUAAGUAUAGCAGUAGCGAAUGGUACCUGGCGGGGCGGUCGGAGGAGAAGGGUUCAGCAACGACGGAGGAGAAGUGGGGUGGGGCCCGGCUGGAACGUUGGAGGUGACGGAGAUGUAGAGCUCCGGCUGAGGUGUGGUGUGGCGGCCGGGAUGGUGGAGCGGCGGCCCAAGCAAGAGAGAAAGAAGGAGAGAAAAUGGGAAGGACGGAGGCGCGAGGUCCGGAAAGGGUUUUGGGUGGGCUGGGGGUGUUGGAGUCCUACGUGUCCGCUGUCUGGACUCCCGCAAAGCUCCCCAUGUUUGUCUCUGGUUCACGGAAGAAAAUCAUCCGGACCACCUGUAGAUCAAUACAAGACCACGUUGGAUAACUUUUGCGGGCCGAACAGUACGGUACGAACCUAUGCAGGCGGUUUGCGGGUCUGUCUUGAAGAUGGCCUAAGAGCAACUCCGAUUGGGCAACCCAGACGGACGGCGAUUUCGUCCGCUUUUUGUCCGUUUGGGUCGGCCGUCCGCCCUGUUUUUGAUAUGGGUCGGCAGCACGCCCAACGCGCCGACCCAUAUGUGCCAGCGUGGCCGGCUGGCCGCCCAAUUUUACAUUGUUGAUUGCAUUCAAACAUAUUGUCAAAUAACAUAGUUUAAACCGAAUAAAAUAGUAUAGUUUUACAAGCCGAAUACAAAUAAAAAUGGUUCACAUAGUUUUGCAAACGAAUAAAAGAAGAUACAUCUAUUGGUUGCCAACAUGAGCCCACAUAUACUCAACCAAAUCAUUUUGCAGUUGCAGGUGAGUUUCCCAAUCACGCAUGUCAUGAUGAAAUUGGGUGAAAUGUUCAAACGUUGCCGCUCCUCCAUGCUCAGGCACAACAUUCUCACCCUGAAACUGAAACCCUUGAUCGUACAGACGUUCCGGGCGCUCGUCUUCUACGAUCAUAUUGUGCAUGAUCACAUAAGCAGUCAUCACCUCCCACAGUUUCUGCGUGCUCCAGGUAUUAGCAGGAUACCGAACGAUGCCCCAUCGAGGUUUCAAAACACCAAAGGCACGCUCGACAUCCUUCCUAGCACUCUCUUGCUCUUGGGCAAAUCUUUUCCUCUUCUCUCCGACAGGGUUGGGUAUUGUCUUGACAAUAGUGGUCCACUAAGGAUAGAUACCGUCACCCAGGUAGUAUCCUUUGUCAUAGUUGUGGCGGUUGACAGUAAAGUUCACCGGUGGGCUGUUGCCUUCGGCAAGCCUAACAAACACCAACGAGCGUUGAAGCACGUUGAUAUCAUUGUGUGAUCCAGCCAUGCCAAAGAAAGAGUGCCAGAUCCAAAGAUCUUGAGACGCCACGGCCUCUACUAUGACAGUGCAAGCCCUGACAUGGCCCUUAUACCUCCCUUGCCAAGCAGAAGGGCAGUUCUUCCACUCCCAGUGCAUGCAGUCUAUGCUGCUAAGCAUCCCUGGGAAGCCCUUACUGGCAUUCAUCACCAACAAACGGGUUGUAUCUUCAGCUGUCGGCUCUCUCAAGUACUUAGGGCCAAACACAGCAAUAACAGCCUUGCAGAAUUUAUACAGGGACUCUAGGCAUGUAGACUCACUCAUACGGACGUACUCGUCAAUGAGAUCACCGGGCACUCCGUAUGCAAGCAUUCGGAUGGCGGCAGUGCAUUUCUGAUAAGAGGAGAAACCGAUCUUGCCGACGGCAUCCUCUUUGCACUCGAAAUAGUCGUCAUAGCCGACCACCCCUCUCUAAUACGGUUGAAAAGAUGCCUACUCAUACGGAAACGGCGGCGAAAUUUUUGAUGUUUGAACAACGGGUUUGUUGUAUCAAAGUAGUCCUUUCAAAAAAGGAAAUGCCCGCUCUCUCGGUUGCGAUUCAACGCCGGAAGGUGGCCCGGAAUGGAGCCACGGAACAACGGCCGCUGGCUGUUGAGGUGGUGAUGGACCAACACGGCAGCCAAUAUCUCCUCCACGUCGUCGGACGACGAAUCGUCGGAGUCGCAAAGGAAAUUGUGGAAAAAGAACUCGUCGGCGGAGUCCAUUUUGUACCUUGGCAAACUGUCGAACAGCUUGCGGGCGUCGACGAAGGAGACGGCCGGCGAGGGGAGUCACGGCGCGCACGGACCAGCUAGCUGUCCUGCCGGCGUCCGACGAGUGGGCCGGCGUCCGACGAGCGUGCCGAUGAGGAUUUGGCCGGGGCGGCGAGGCGGCUUCUUGGUUGCGGGCGGCUGUGCGGUGGGGGGAGCACGGGUGGGAAGCAGUCGGCUCCCCGGCGGCAAAUGGCGGUGGCGGGCGACGGGGGAGUGGGCGGCGUUGCUGGGCGGAUGUGGAGGCGGCGGCGGCGGCUGGCAGAGUCGCCGGCAAAAAUGGGCGGCGGCGUCGGCGACGAAGGAGGCGGUGAGGGUUGUUGUUGGAUGGGGGGUGGGGGAGGCCAAUGUGCCACCGAUCAGCGGGCCUGAAGAGAGAAGAAGGCAAGCGUGCGCACGUCCGUCGCGUGUCCGCGCCGACGCAAAUCCGGCUUAAAAAUAAACCGGGAAUGGGUCGCCUGCGGACGAAAAGCGGACGCGCGUCCGUUUGGGUCGACGCGUUGUGCCGCCUUUUGUGUCCACGCCGACCCAAACGGACGGCGGCGGACGAAAGGUCACCCCAUUGAAGUUGCUCUAAGGCGCCGGGCUACACAUGCUCUAAACAUCCCUUCCCGUGGACGCUCUCAUGUAGCACGGUCACCAUCACCCGCAAGCCGCCGAGCCACCAGCGACGACGACGCUAGUAUUUCUUGUGUAAGGCCUCAAUCCCCUCUUCCCCUGUGCGCCGCCGCGAUGACCACAACAUCUCAACAUCCGUGGAGGACGCUGUCAUGUAGCGCAGUCGUCAUCAGCCGCUAGCCGCCAGCGACGACGACGCUAGUGAUUACUAUUUUGGAAGGCCUCAGUCCCCUGCUCCCUUAUCCGCCGCCGGCGACGACCGACGAAAACAACGUCUGAACAAUUGAACAUCCCUUCCAGUUCCCGUGGAGUGGACGCUUUCAUGUAUCACGGCCGCUGUCAGCUGCUAGCCGCCAGUGACGACGACGCUAGUGUUCCUUUCAUCCUGAUACGUGUGAUAACGACGAGACGUAGUCCUCGUUCUAGGCCAUCAUAGUCGUCUGCUUACGGAAAGGUAGAUGUAUAAACAUCAGUGCAGAUUCACGUUGUAUUACUUAUUUAUUCACACUCUCUCUCACUAAUCAAGACGGUAAUCGUUUUUUAGUAUAUAUGCUAUCACAAGAAAUGGUACACGCAUGCCCUCUCAGCAAAAUGCAAUGCGUGCUCAAUUAGGGCAUCUCUGACCCACAAAUUUAUUCUCGCAUCCAUCCACGUAUAUCUCGAACCAAGUUUCAACUAACUGAACAAAGUUCAUGCAAACACGGCAGAUUUUUAUAUAAACCGUACAAAUUUAUUACAUUUAUUACACUUUUCAUUAAAAAAAGUGGCCGGACCCUGAAGCUAUCCUACGGUGGCGCCCGCCGUUCACCUCCUUUGUAUUCGGCAUUGGUGACCACGUCCUUUAACUGUUGUGUCCAUGAAUGGUGGCGGGUUCAAGACCCGUGAAGUGGAGAUGCGGUCUCCGGCGAGGAAAACUAGAACAUGGGAGACAGACCGGCCCACUUGGGACACAAUGCACUGCCGCCUCCCAUGCCCUAGUCAUCCUCGGAGGAGUCCGUGACCCGUCCGUCGCUAAUGCCGGUAGACAUGAGGUUGAUGAUGGACGUGGACGGUCCGUCACUGUCCACCUGCCACAUGCGCCCCCGAAAGUUGGACGACGGCGCGUAAGACGCGCAGCUAGCAGCGUUCUCGUCCUUGACCGCCAGCACUGCGUUGUGAGUGACGCGUUGAGCACGCGCGGCCUCGUAGAGCGUCUGCUGCUCCACAACGAAGUUCGGGUUCGCCGCGGAGACGGUGGACACGGCCUUCUCGCUUGCACGCUCACCGUAGAUUUGGCCCUUCACCAACCGGUGUUGUCGAAGAGGAGCAGGUUGUACAUUUGCUCCUCCUAAGCCUGCCGGAAUGCCGACAUAGGAGCCGCGCAAGCGGCUCCUCAUCCGCCAUGGCGGCAUCGCAGUGCGCCUGCGCCUGCUCCAUGGUCAAGCCGGCAUGCACCGGUGUGGUGUCAUCAUUGGACCUUGUCUCCAUUGCGGGGUCGUCGUCGGAGACCUCGGGGGAGCUGGCCGGCAUGACGGCCUCAAUCCUCCUGGCACGGCGGCAACCUCGUGCUUCAUCUUCGUCGAUAGGCUCUCCCACAGAUUGUUCCCGCUCGCGUUCAUGGUGGAUGUGGUGCAAUGGAGGAGGAUGUGGAAUGGAUGUGUUGUGGUGUGGAGUUUAGCCGGGUGUGGCCGCGGUUAAAUAGCGGAUUCUGGUGAGGCCAAGCGCCCGGGUGCAUCAGUGUGCGGCAGCUGGCGUCGGGUGGGAACGCACAUGGACGAAGGAGGAGGGUUUUUGAUGGGCCGGGGUAGACAUGNNNNNNNNNNNNNNNNNNNNNNNNNNNNNNNNNNNNNNNNNNNNNNNNNNNNNNNNNNNNNNNNNNNNNNNNNNNNNNNNNNNNNNNNNNNNNNNNNNNNNNNNNNNNNNNNNNNNNNNNNNNNNNNNNNNNNNNNNNNNNNNNNNNNNNNNNNNNNNNNNNNNNNNNNNNNNNNNNNNNNNNNNNNNNNNNNNNNNNNNGGACUGGCCUACAGACCGAUACAGGAUCACAUUGGUUGGCAAAACACGUCUGGUCCGGAUGUAUGCGGGCAGUUUGAGGGUCGGCGUUGGAGAUGUCCUUACUCGAUAACAAAUAAACUCCUAUAAUAGACCCUUUUUGCGAAAUGGCCAAAGGCACCUCUGGCUAUAUAAGGGCUAAAAAUAUAUAUUACUCCCUUUCAUAAUUUUUGUCAUGGUUUUAGUUUAAAAUUUUGAACUAAAACCACGACAAGAGUUAUAUACCGUCUCACAAACAAACAUAUAUACUCACUCACCAGAAAAUGUCUAUAUACUCACUCACAGAAAAUGUAUAUAUACGCACCAGGAAAAAAAAUACCCAUUGUGUAAAAAAGAAGGUAUAUACUCUUUUAGUUUCUAAGUACUAGUGUAUACCUCAUCUCAAAGUAGUACAAACACAGCACAAUUCGCUUUUUGUGGGCUAAGUCGCCUGACACACAAAAAUAUAGUAUAACAUUGUACCCUCCUUGGUUGCAAGUAAUCCCACCAAAAAUCAUUAGUAUAUGUUCAAAGUUUCAGACCCGGUGGCAUCUAAAAAAAGCUACUUAUACUUCUCUUGAUGGAACAUAUACUGCAUGGAAGGCGGAAAACGUGAACUGUGAGCAGUACAAAACGUGGAUAACAUCCAAGCGUUUCUGAUUUCUAGGGAGUAGGUGUGCACUCGUAGCAAUUAGUUAGAUUAUUUACUAAUUUGCAUCAUAGUUUUCACUCUAUUGAAUACUAGAUGAUACUCCCUCUAUUUUUAUUUACUCUGCAUAUUAGAUUUGUCUGAAGUCAAACUUCGUAAAGUUUGACCAAGUUUAUAGAAAAGAAUAUAAGCCUUUAUCAUAACAAAUCCAUAUGAUGUGAAAGUACAUUUAAUAAUGAAUCUAAUGAUAUUGAUUUGUUAUUGUAUAUGUUAAUAUUUUUGUCUAUAAAUUUUUUCAAAGUUUACAAAGCUUGACUUUGACCAAAACUAAUAUGCAGAGUAAGUAAAAACGAAGGGAGUACUUGGCAUGUUGUUGUGAAAAUGUGUUACAAUAUAUUCAAAGUGUUGCAUUUAACAUGAAAAUUUUGAGUAAUAAUAUAAGAACUAAAACUAAUAUUCAUAUGAUUUAUUGUGUUUGAUUAUUGUAUAAUAUAAAUAUCAUAAUAGAAUGAAAAUAGCAUGCAUAUUUGCAUGUUGAGGUGUUUUUUUAUAGAUAGUUGUACAUGUUGAGGUGAUUUUUUUAUAGAUAGUUAUAUGUUGAGCUGGAACUUUUCCCAUUCAUGUUAAGAUAAAUAGAUUAGUGGAGCUAGCUAUUUAAAUACAGAAGAUAGUCAUCCCGUCCAGCACAUUCACUAACGACGGGAGUACAUACUCCUAGGACUAGGAGUAUAAAAGAGGAGUCUUACAACGGGGUGUGGUUAGACUCACAUCUCAUAUAUUUUCAUGUGAUAUUAUAUAUACUACUCUAUCCGUAAAGAAAUAUAAAAGUGUUUAAUAUGUUCAUAUACCAUAUCUAAAUAUACUUUAAAGCGAGCUAUAUCAUAUAUCUAAGAUACCCCAAGUGAACUAUAUGAAGAAAAAAAUCUAGGAGAGCCCAUAAUUUUUACUAGAUUGGUAAAAUACGUACACAUUAGUACUUACAAAGAAUAUGUAUAUACAAGCACCCAUUAAGACCUUAUUCUACAAUAAAGAAAAAGUUACUCUACUAUCAAUUCUGAACUACAAAAACCCACCAAACCGAACACCAAAACAGAUCAAAAAAAUCCUCAAAACAACGCACAAACUGGUGCCAUCUUCUCGAUCGUGCCCCCCCCCCUUCCACGACCUAACAUUACCUUCCCGACCUCGAACCGGGUCGUUGCCGCCACCAUGGACCAGUCGGUGUCCACCCCGUGACCUUCCUUCAGGGAGCCGCUGUGCUGGACCGCCUACCCCCGGGUCACCACGCCGCGCUGGGACACCCCGACCCCGGGGCUGCGACGCUCGAGAGCAACCAAGGGAAAGUCAUUUAUAUUAAGUGGGUCGAUGCCAAAACAACAGUUCACAUCACUAUUAAUGCUCAUCGCUAGAAACAUAAUAAUAAGAAUACAUUAAGCAUGGAUUAACCGUGUGACGAGAAGAAUUAUAGACAUGAUUGAUUGUUAUUGUAAUUUGUAUCAUCGUUGAAAAAAAAUAAAAAUAACCUUAUUUAUUCAUUAAUGGCACAUGAAAUAUAUUCAACAGUUGCCAGAUUAUCAUCAUAUUCCACUGGAACAUUUUCUCACUAAAUCACUAACCAAAACUUACCUUAGUUUAAUUUUGAUUAGAGAGACUUGCAAACUCACACAAUGGCUAGCAAGAACAUCGGCUAAUUUAAUAACCAACAUUUACAUAAAGCAACAACAUAAUGUAAUUCAAUUUUUUUUUGAACCAUGCAAGAGAACUGUGUGUAAUAUUAUCACUGAGCAAACAUUAAACUUCACAUUCACAUGAAGAUGUCAUUAACAAUAAUCGUCGAAAAAAUAAUAUAACUAUCCAAGUAAAAGAAGUUGAACAUAGAAAUCACAUGAGGAUUCACAAAAUAAAAAUAUUUGGUGAAUUUUAACAACCAAAUAAACAAAAACAUUGCCAAAUAUCAUGUAGACCAUGAUCAUGAUAAUACAUAUCGCAUAAAAUGUUUUAAACAAUAUUCUUUUAGUAUUUAGAGAAUCAACCAUAAUUUUAUCAAAGAUAUUUUAUGCCAUUAUACUUAUUCUACAACACAUUAAGGAACAUAAAAUGUAUCAACAAAAAUCUUUAGUUUUGCUAAUGAGGCAUAUAUUGGCCAAGUAUUAUUGUGCCACAUGGUGCGGUGCGCGAAAGCCAUGGAAAAGAACUGGUGUACUAUGAAAAAUCCGACAUAAACAGGAAAUGGUUUAUUUGUUUACAACAACACGGCAUGCAUGGACGGGGAGAUGACAGACGCACACACAACAUACGGCCAUGUCAAUGGCCACGGACACCAAGGACGACCGCCGGCCAAACCAUGUCCGGCGACUAAAUCACAGAGAAAAAAGUAAAGAUGGAACUGAGCAAAGCCACGGUAAUAGUCUUCCUUCCGCCCAAAUGCCCUGGAUCUGUUCCUGAGUUCUUCCUGCAGCACGGUUGAUGGAUCCUGGCGGCUAGAACUUGUUGCUGUACCAGAAGAUCCCCUUGCUGUCCUCGCGCUCGAUGUACAAACACUCCUUGGCCUCGCGCCAUGUGGCCUUGGCGAGAGGGGUGCGGUCGAUCUGAUAGUACUCGCCGAGGAUGGGCUUGAUCGCCUUGGUGGCCUCCAUGGCGUGGUAGUGCGGUAUGUUGGAGAACAGGUGGUGCAAGAUGUGCGUGUCCGUGAUGUUGUGGAACACGCGGUUGAGGAUGAUGCCGUAGUCGCGGUCCAUGGUGGCGAGCGCCCCGCGCAGCCAGUCCCACUCCGUCGAGUCGUAGUGCGGCAGCGCCGGGUGGGUGUGGUGCAGGUAGGUGACCAGGACCAGCCACGCGUUCACGAUCAUCAGCGGCACGCCGUAGACCCGCAUCAUCCACCAGAACCCGAACGUCGACACGAGCUUCAACAUGGCGAACGACACGGCCAGCACGCCGAUGUCAGAGAUGAAAAUCUGGGCGCGCUCCCGGUCGUUGUAGAUCGGGCUGUAGGGGUCGAAGUGGCAGGCGAAGCGCGGGUACGGGCGGCCCCAGGUGUUGAGCGACAGGUACAUAUACCACCCAAGGGUGAGCUGCACGACGAUGAGCACCACACGGACGACGGGGUUGUCGUGGAUAUAGGGGGUGUACCACGGCAGUGCCUCCUUCGGCCUUGGGACGAACACCUCGUCGCGCUCUAGCGACCCGGUGUUGGAGUGGUGGCGGCGGUGGCUGUGCUUCCACGAGAAGUAGGGGACGAGCAGCCAUGAGUGGAGCACCAGGCCGACGACAUCGUCGAGCAGCGGGUAGUCGGAGAAGGCGUGGUGACCGCACUCAUGCGCGAUCACCCAGACGCCGAACAUGACGCAGCCCUGCGCAACCCAGUAGAGCGGCCAGGCGCCCAGCUGAAGCAUGCUUGGGAGGGCUGGGAUCCAGACCAGCGCGGCGUACAGGAGCGCCGCGACGAUGACGAGGUCAUGGACCAAGUAGGAGGAGGACUUGACCAGGGAGCGCUGGAAGCAGUGAGGCGGGAUUGCCAUCUUGAUCUGGCCCAGCGUAAACGGCGGCUUGUCCGUCGGUGAGCGCUGGAAGACCGCGCCCGCGCCCGUGCGGCCGAGCAGUUCCUGCUUCUCCCGCUCCUUCUCCGUCAUCCUGCCUCCGGCACCCAUGAUGCUGCUCACAACAACAACAACAACAACAACAACACCCACUGGUGAUCAGACAGUGUCUAUGAGGGUAUAUAUGUACCAUUCAUUUCAAGAACGAUGAUAUAUUAUGCCUUGUGUGUAUAUAUGUUUGUUAUAAAUGAGGCUGCGCGAUAUCUGUCUUGCCAGAAAAAUAAGGAGUGUCUGUUUGACACUCAACAGGAAUUCAAUUGAGCUUCAGUCAAAGUUGCACCGCAGACAUUGUCAAAAUAAAGAGUGUAUGUUUGACGGGACCGGCUAUAGCCCAGGCGACUGAAUUUUAUUUUAGGAUCAGUCACUUUUUUUCUAUACCACCCCACGUAUUCAUCCCAAGGCAUGCAUGUAAAUUAAAAACUAUGCUAGGAUGUGACUCAAGAGCCGUACAUGCACACAACAUGCACACCGCCCACAUGCAUAUAGACACAUGCACCGCAGACAUGGCAUUCUUGUUAAGAACCUGGUAUCUCUCUCACGAUCUAUAGGAUACGAGCUUGGAUUACAAGUAGCAAUGGAGGUACAAGAUUUGAGGAAUCAAGAAGAACAGGAGGAAGAGGACCAGAGGUAGGAGACGGGAGCCGCCGUGCCGUUUCGCCUGAUCCUACGCGGAUACCUUCGCCUGAUGCUUUGGCCCUCCUACUUGUAGUUGUUGCCGUAGGGAGCCGGCUGGGCCUAGCCCAUCACUCUCAGCCCAUGACUGGAAAGGGGGCUGACAUCCCCUCCCCCUUGAAAGCCGGCUUGCCCUCAAGCCGGUAGCGAGUAUCUGGGGGACGGGAGCACAUGCUCGGUCGUGCACCACGCGUUGCUUCUUCGCUGACUUGAGGACCCGGCACGAUCUAGUCACCGACAUCCCUCCCUGGAUGAGACUCGGCUUGACCUCAAGCUGACACCGCCGAGGAUCUCCUGGAUCCCAUGGCGCUCGAUGUUCCCAGGCUUGGUUGGAGCCGUUGCGGUAGCUGAAGUCGAGGUAGACUGCAACGAUGGAGAGGUAGUUGUUGUGGCCGAUGAAAAUCCCGUCGAAGAAGGCGUCGUAGUCGUUGUCGGCACCGCCACGGUUGAAGUCGAGGUAGCACUUGCAGUCGAUGGAGCUUUGUGUGAAGACGAUGACGACAAUGAUGACGCUCCUCCCUCCUUCAUAGGACGCUUGUCGAGUCAAUUCCAGUAACAUCAAGCAUGUCGGUCCGCCAGGAUCCCAAGAGGUGCCCAUCCGGUAGAUGCCCCUUUCGAUCUGCAACACCACUAUAGCAGAAAUGAACAGAAGCAGGCGACACCUGUUGUUGUAGUCAUCAGGUUGCAGCUUGGAGGUGUCCAACAGAGGAUGCAGUAAUGUCGCCAGUUCAUACGGUAUAGCUUCAGAUACAACGGCGGACAAAUAGCCAGACUGAAGCACGUAAUAGAAGCAAAAGGCAUAAGGAACUCCCAGAAGAAAAUCAGUAGCAAUUGAACUGGUACGCAGUUGCGGCUCAUGCAGGCACAGGGCUGCUGGAUCAGGUGGAUGCUUGCAACAGAGAAAUAACCCCCACACCUGAUUAGUUUUGUUCGCAAACAUGUCAACAACAGGAGCACUGACUUCAUUCAGGUUCAGAUUUGCUUGAGAACAACCAACCUCAAAGUAACAUGCUGGUUGUACACAGUGAAUACCUGAUGGUUUCAGCAGUUUUGACCCGGUUUCUCUAUGAACUCUGUGACACUUGAGGCAUCCAUUGUCCGGCAGAAGAUUACAAGGCAGCAUAAAAUUGUUUUGUGAAUUCUUCUCCAUGCAAGGGUCAUAAUCUUCAUGGGGGGCAGGUGGUCUAGGGACACAGAGCAUUCUUGUUGCCUGCAUUCCCACUCCCCUAGAAGUUGCUUGCACUGUGGGUAUUUUUCUCUCCAUAAUUCCCUCUUCCCUCAAGUAAAUAAUUGCAGUAUGGUGGCAGUCAGACCAAACUGAACAUGGUUCCUCAAGAUAGUCCGCUUCCGAUCGAAACUUAAUUUCCCUUCGACUCAAAAAUGACCAAUUCACUGACAUGCUCCUGGUAUGCAUGGCCCUCUGCGAUUUCUCAUGCCAUGGAAUACUAGAUACAACAACAUGCUCGUCGUAGUUAAAUAUCCAUUGUCCAGAGAUGCUAGCUAGAGAAAUCAGUGAUAAUCUGCAGGAAGGCCAUGGUUGCAGCUUGACUGAAGGGGCUAGAAGAAUAUGCAAUAUUCUGAACUUCCCAAGCAAACCACAUUUUUUUGUUUGAUCUGGUCAACGCCACAGCUCAUAAUCAUUGUCAGCAGGAGAUAGUAAAACCAAGCACCAUGUCAUCAUCUUCGGACAAAUAGGAAACAACCACUCGAUUUUUACAAUCCGAGAGAAGCACUGACUGGACUGCGCAAUGAUACACCUAACAUGCCAUUGUGAACCACUGCUAGCAGUAAGAAACCCCAUGGUUAUUCUGAGCAAAUAAUCCCCUGGAUUCCGAGGGAACAAGCAUAAUGUGGAAUAUGAAUCACACUUCCCGAAUGAACACAACUUGCUGGAAUUAGCUUUUACUAGCAGUGGCCUUUCCGGUCGCCACUCAAGGUUAACUGGGCUCAAAAAUUCCUCAAGCAAGUAAAUAACAGCAACACAGCCUAGUUCAUAUUGCGCACUUAGCAUGAAGUGAAGAAAAAUAUUAUUAGAACAUCCUGUGCUUAGAGCGCCCAUUUGUUGUAUGCUCAUAAAUGAAUGUGCGGCCAUAGAACAGGUAACUAGUCCCCGUUCCACAAUACCCAGGUUCAGAUCACCCACAACUUGCAUUAUCGGCUGACUCAGGACAUGCAUAUCUCUUGGCACCAUGGAGAUCAAGCAAGCAAAAGACGGCCAUGCAACAGGUCGUACCUUGUAUCCCUCUGUGGAAUCCUUCAAAAGCGAUGGCCACGGCAUCGGCCGUAGCACUAGCGUCUCGUGCCUGAUGCGCGGAGACACCAUCAUGCUUAAUGAGGACAUAGGUGUGUCACUGAGGCAGACAUGUGAACACUUUGUUGGCAGGGAGUCGUCCAAGUCACGGUUCACGAGCAGCUGCAUAGAAGUGACGACUGAAACCAUGCAAGGGGCUUGAGUGAGCAAAAGCACUUCCUCCAUGUCCAGGGGCACCCGCGGGAUAGAGUCGCCGUUAAUGGCACGAUGAGCAGAGUCGGUGAUAGGCGCCGGGGAGGUUGCUGGAAGCAGCGACAUCAGCAUUGUUGGCGACGCGAGCGGCGGAGUGCCGAUGGUGCGGACGAACUCGUCGUCACCAUUGGAUGGUCCCAAACCCUUGGCGACGUGGACGGUGGUGUCGAGGGCAUGCUGGAUGUCGACUGUGGGCGUGGGGAAGAUGGAAGUAGUGGUGUCAUGGACCUCGUCGACGCUGUCGAUGGUGUCGACCUGGGUCGAGCACUCCGUCGAACAGGUGACGGGCACCAUCGCGAUGCACACCGGGGCUGCAUCAUGGGCGACCCUGGGGAUCUCCUGGGCCUUGGUGGUGGAGGAGAGGUCGCCGGGGAGGACGGCGAGCUCGGUGACGACUUCUGGAUUGCCGCCACCAAUGUGUACUCGGUCGUGCUUGUGACGAGGACGCGGCCUUUGCUGUCGAGGGAAGACUUGGGGGGUGUAUCCUGGACGUGAGGCAGCGUGCUGGUGCUGGCCGCCGUAGGGAUGUUGACGGAGGGGUCCAAGACGGUGGAGUGUGCCGAGGCAGCAGUAUCGCCCGCCAUGAACGCAUCCGGCGUUGCCAUGCGCGUUGGCGGUGAGGUUGGCGCCGGCAACACGUCAGGCGUAGCGUUCCACAUCUGCAGUCGACAGCACCGGAAGUAGAUGCAGCGGCCGUCCCAGUAUGCCAACGCGUGCGCCGCCGCGUGUGCCGAACAAAACCGCACAUCCGCCGCCACACAUGGCUGUCCAUCCUCUGAUAUUGUUGGGGGAUACACCACCAACUGCUCAACACCAAAGGGACCGAAGAGGGAAUGCAUCACCUCAACGGUGAUUGGGUAAAUUGCUUGCUCCACCACCAUGCUGAGAACUUGAUCUGAGGACGUUUGGUGGCUAGACAUUUUGUCAAACAGGAAGAAAGCGAUGACUGGAAGAGACAAUUUGGGGCGGAAAGGGAUGGAGGACUGGCUCUGAAUACCAGAUGUUAAGAACCUGGUAUCUCUCUCACGAUCUAUGGGAUACAAGCUUGGAUUACAGGUAGCAAUGGAGGUACAAGAUUUGAGGAAUCAAGAAGAACAGGAGGAAGAGGACCAGAGGUAGGAGACGGGAGCCGUCGUGCCGUUUCGCCUGAUCCUACGCGGAUACCUUCGCCUGAUGCUUUGGCCCCCCUACUUGUAUUUGUUGCCGUAGGGAGCCGGCUGGGCCUAGCCCAUCACUCUCAGCCCAUGAUUGGAAAGAGGGCUGACAAUUCUCCUCAUUAACCUUUUGGUUGUGGGAUGGAGCAAAAUUAACACUAAAAGUAAUACAAAACUAAAACCAUCUUUUUAAGGAGAAACGAAUUAAGGGCAUUGAUAUUACCUCAAAGAAGAAAGACAAUGGAAAAAGGGGCGACCACGUGUUAGCAGUGGCGUGCCUAGCUGGUGUGCCCAGAAUUUUGAAAAAUAAAUUUUUCGUAUGUAAAAAUUAGCUGAUUUUCAAGGGCACGCCCUCUUUUAUUUUUAUGUCCGCCACCACGUGUGAGGUGUCUAAAAAUUUUCGGUGUUCAAUCAAAUCGCUCUCCACCAUUCGAGCAGGAUCCAAAGGCCUAGCUAGCUUGUUCUUCCACCCUUUUUCUCCCCUUAUAUGAAAACUAAAUUAAAUAACAAAAAAAUAAAAAGGAAAAUAAUAUUAUGCAACUAUGUGUAACAUAAUAGAACAUAGAAACUUACACUUUCUAUAUCCUUCUAUCGCCCUAUAAUUAUAUACUAAAAGAAAAGUAAAGAAAAACAAAAAAAAGGAAGCUUUCUAAGAAAGACUAACUUAUUUGCAUUGGUAUUACCCUUCAAAGAUAAAAAUAUGAAAAAUAAAACAAAUAAUGAAUAAUAUUUGCACACAAUAUACACAGAAAUUGCACUUUUAUCAUAUGCUAAAAUAAUUAUAUAAUCAUGGAUUUUUCACACAAAAAAUAAGUUUUCUAAGAAAAAAUGAAUUAGUGACAUUGCUAUCACCCUUUAAGAAGAAAUAAAAUGAAGAAAAUAAAACAAAUACUUGCAAAUUUAGCACACAAUUUACAUAAAAGUUGCUUUUUUUCCUAUAAUAUGCAAGAAUAAGCAUAAAAUAGUGGAAUUUCUUAAAAUAAGAGUUUCUAAGAAGGAAUUAAUUCGUGACAUUGGUAUUACCAUAAAAAUAAAAAUAAAUAAAACAAAGUAAAAGGUACUGAAGUUCUCUAAGAAAGAAUGAAUUAGUGACAUUGGUAUUACACUUAAAAAUAAAAAUAAAAAUAAAUCAAAAUAAUGAAGUUUUCUAUGGAAGAACGAAUAAGUGGUAUUAAAUAUAUUUUCCUUAAAGAAGAAAGGAAAUGAAAGAAAAACCUGAAACAAAAUCAAAAUAAUGAAGUUUUCUAAGAAAAAAUAAAUUAGUGGUAUCGGUAUUACUCUUUAAGAAGAAAGAAACUAAUGAAAAAUUGCACACAAUUUACACAAAAAUUACAUUAUUUUAUAAUAUGCAAGAAUAAGCAUGUAAUAAAGGAAUUUUGCAAUUAAGAAAUUUCCUAAGAAGGAAUAAGCAUGAUAUGCGAGGUCCACCCACAUAUCAAAUUAUCAAAGUAACGAACGUGAAUCAUAUGAGCAUGAUGAAAACUAACUUGACAACAAUUCUCAUGUGUCCUCGGGAGCGCUUUGCUUCAUAUAAGAAUUUGUCCACGCUUGUCCUUUGCUACAAAAAGGAUUGGGCCACCUUGUUGCACCUUAGUUACUUUUGUUACUUGUUCCCCGUUACGAAUUAUCUUAUCACACAACUAUCUGUUACCGAUAAUUUCAGUGCUUACAGAGAAUACCUUGUUGAAAACCGAUUAUCAUUUCCUUCUGCUCCUCGUUGGGUUCGACACUCUUACUUAUCGAAAGGACUAUGAUAGAUCCCCUAUACUUGUGGGUCAUCAAGGAGCAACGUUAUAUGCUACAGUACUAUGUGCAGGUGCAUGUGCUCUAGUAGAAUUUCCACUUAUUCGGCUAUGGGCGUGAAGGUGCAGAGCCAAAUUAUGAAUAUCUACAGUUGUGUAUGGUGCCAAAAAAAUUAGUUUCAUGAGGUGUAGCAUAUGAUGGUUGAGGAUAAUUGACAGAAUUGCUAGUAGUAGCAUGGUCAACUCCUCUAUCCACCGACAUGUUUGGAUUCAUUGCAAGUUAGUUGUUGAUGAAUAAAAGGGUGAUACACUCUCUUUCAUACUACUAGAAAUUUAACACUGUGUAUUCCAAAUAUAUUAAUCAAACUCAUCAUGUUGUUCAUCGACAUAUGGAUUUUUUAGGUUGCGAUGCAUAAGGGUUUGAGUACACAUGUUGCAUGUUGUUAAAAUUAUAAGACGUUGAAGCAUGUAAAUAAUUUUGCAUCGGCUCUUGCACAUAAUAGAUGCAUGAUUGACAAAACUAAGGCUAGUUGUUACAUUAUGCUCAUCAAAGGAUCUAGCAACACCAACAUAUGAAUUAUUUACAUCUACAUAAGUGAAUUGGUAUUCAUAUUACCUUUAUAGAUUGCAACAACUCUUGAUGACAAUCUCUUCGUAGCCACAAUGAUCACGAUAGACCAUUAUAAAUUCCGUCCCCGGCAGAGUCACCAACAAGUGUGUUCACGCACAAACAUGUCACCGCGUACCCCGGUGUCAAGCAUGAUACUUAAGACACGACGGAGGAGGAGUAUCGUUAGGAGCGUGAUGCGCAAGACACGUGGGCGAGGUCUUUUGACGACCCAAAACCCUACACCCCCAGAAGGGACCCCGUCAAGGCGUAUGGUGGCUAUGGGCUUCCCUAGUUCAACCUGACCAACCCUAGGGCCUUGAGGUUUGCUAUCGUCGAACAUGAAGAACAACGAAGAAAGAGAAGAAGAAAAACGAGGGAGAGAUGACAAACAAAGGUAAAAGGUGGUAGCUUGAUUUGUCGAUUGUUCUGUGUUGUUCAAUCGGUCAUCACCUCUUAUUUAUUUAGGUGGCAAAAAGGACUCCGAACCUCGUCCAAAUCUUACCAAAAUUAACCUAACUCGGAUUUAUGUGUGGGCCUGAGACAGUAGCUCGACUUUGGGAACCCAUAGGCCACACACAAUAUCAGAUUGAAUGACACAGAAAGCUGAUUUGUUCAUCUUGAUGAAACGAAGAACUUUCAUGUUAAACAUUUUUUUCAUCUGAUACCAUCUUGAAGGCGGAAUCACCCCCACAUCCAUCAGAUAUGCCAGGGGGCGGGCGACUUCUACGCCUCCGUCCGGUCUCAACUCCCGAAUAGUCUCGUCACAACAGAAUGUUUGGGAGCUCGGUCAGAUAGUGUGACCGAUUUGGCCGGACAGUGCUCAAAUUCUAAUAUAUGGAUUUAGAUGGUGUGUUAGCAGUGGCGGGCGACCCUAAGAGCAUUGAUCGUCGCUGCUAGGCUUUUCCCGCCCGCCACUGCUAGGCAUCCCUGCAAUAGUGUGUUUAUCCUACGUCGACACUCAACACAAGGAGGGGGUUUUGACUCUAGGCAAAAGAAUGGAACUUCUCACAUUUGAUUCAACUCUGCCUGUUAUAAAAUUGGAUCUCUUCAGACCAAAAUCAAAUCCAAACCCUAGAUUUUGGUCAUGUUUUGACUUAUUGUGUAUACUUUUAAAAUUAAGAGUUUUCAUAAUUAUACUUCAAAUUUGGAUGACUAGGAUAUUCAAGCCUCCAAUAUAUAAAAGGUUGUGUGUUGGGGGUGGGGGUGUGAAUUUGCUUGAAUAGUCCUAAUUUUAGAACUUCAUUUUUGUUGGUCACUUUCCUUUACAACAAAAUGACACACAAAUACAUUGUGUGGCAUGAGAAGAGUGUCACAAGUUAUGUGCCUCACGGGGAGAGAGGCACUGCUCUCACGUUUUGUGAGUGCGUGCUUCUUUUACUUGGAUCAGGAUUUGCAUGGGUUUAUUUUUGUUGCAUCUCUGAUUUGAAUUUCAUCAUCCUUUCACUAGUUAGAAAACAAUCCCUCUAUUCUUGUACCGGUUUUCAGUGUUUGGUGAUUGUAUGAUAUGGUUUGAUUAGAAAUACUUUGUGAUUUUUGGAAGCAUUGUUGCAUUUAUUGUUGUUUAGUCCUCAUGGUCAUGGCACAUCAACUCCGAAAAACAAAUGUUUGUAAAAAAAUAUGGUGGCCCAAUACCAAAGGGCAUGAGGAUCUACACAAUACCAGGAAAGAAUUAAAACCUAUAAAAAAAUAGCUACAAACAUGUCACCGAAGAGGGUCACUUUUGGUAGGGUCUUUAUGGGAACUUUGAAUGACAAACAAAAUGUGGCCAUCAAGAAGUCCAUCCAGCUUGAGGAUGAGAGUAAGAUGGAAUUCAUUGAAUAAGGUUAUAAUCUAGUCUGGUAAGUGGAAGUAGUAUGAGUUUGUGAUGAGUGGAAGUCUGCUCUUUUGAAGGCAGAGAUAACAUUCUGGUGCGUACACACUUGAAGAUAGUUUUAGCAUACAUGCAUUCAGCUGUGUAGGAAAGUAACGCCCAACAUGGUGAUGUCAAAUCAGGCCAUUUUACAGAAAUAUCUUUGUAAUGGUUUUGUAUAUGCCCCCAUCAUGUUUCUUGAUGAUGUCGAUACACUCUUUUGCUUAGUUCUUAAAUUCAUUUUUCCGGACCAUGUUGAAACUAUUGACAAACCCUUUUGAUUACUUCUUUUCUUCAUGUUCAUGCGAACCAGUAUCCUCCAUACAAAGGAUCAUACAUGUGCUAUGUUGGCAGGAAAGAGCAUUAAGGGCAAUGCCCGUCUUUGUUCUUCCAUAGGAAUAGCAAGGCCAAAGUUUUGGCUCUUGAUUGAUUGACUAGAGUCGGAUAUAAGGCACGGUUCCUUUGGCGGGUUGAAAAAUAUACCGCCCCAUCCCUACCUUCUCCCAUAAGCCGCUUUCUAAAUUCGUUGAGGCUCCAACGGAUGGGCGGGGUGACUUAUUUUUGAAUUUGGGUAGGGGGCUAAGUGCUAGCCAUGAACUUUGUGGACCAUCCCAUGAGGACAGUGAAGGGAAAGGUCUCAUUGGUAAAAGAGAACAAUAACUAUAUGUGGUUGGAAGAACUAGGAAAAGGAGAAAAAUAGUGAUAAUUUAUUCUUUGUCGUGUAAGUAAAUGUGUAGCUACAAAUAUGAAAAGUUGCUGCUUUUUUUGGAAUUUGCAACAAUGCAAUGAAUGAAUGACGAAAAUUGAACCCCGGGACUCCCAUCCUAGAGUAUGAACGCUCUCGGGAGAACAUAUCGACCAAAUUAUCUCUCCGGCCUCUCAUUUUUUGUAACAAACCAAGCAUGCCCUAAAGUCCGUCCUUGUUGCCAUGUUGGUGGAUCAAGCCUAGCGUUCACUUCUGUCAUGUUGGAUGGUGGUGGUAAUAGUAAUCUUGCGUCGUUUCAAAAAAAAAAGGCAGGCUACAAAAGAAAUAUAGGUUCUUUUGCCUCCCGCCAGUGCCGCCGGUUCGCCUUGUCUCCGGUCAUGGGGGUGCGGCGGUUCAUGGCCCUUGCCGGUGGGAGGGCUCUGCUUUUAUAUGUUCAUUCAAGUUGUGUUAGGGUUUAUGUCCUACUCAAAAAGGCGAGACAGUGGUGGCUACCUAAAGAUGGAAUAAGGCCCUGUCUAGCCCCCAUUCCGGUGGUGCGGCUAGCAUCGUCGGUGUGUGUGGAGGUGUGUCUUCGGUGGAUCCGUCUUUAAUGAAUUUGCUCAGACCUAAUCGUCAUUCGUCUAUGUUUAUGUGUCUUGAGGUUGGAUCUUUCCGAUCUACGCUACUCUUCACCAGCAACGGUUAUUGUUCUGGUAUGCUUACGGCCUUAGCACAAGGAUUUCCGGACUGACUACUAAUGUACUACAACAGGUUUUGCCCGCCUCCAGCAAGGGAGGGGCAAUGACGGCGGCGCGCCUACAGCUUGUAGUUGUCGCUAGGUCGUAUACGAAUCUGGAUGUAGUUUAUAUUAUUUCUGGUAUUCGUUCUACUGCCAUGAUUGAAGAAUGAAUAGAUUUUCAGGAAAAAAAAACUUAUCUUAGCUUUGUUUAUCAUUGGUUACAGUAAUCACCCGUGACGCGGCCUACUAUCUUGUCUCGAACUGAGCCAGUGAUAUGUUGUACUAUAUGAAAUGUGUUUAAAGUUCUUGCGGUAUUACUAUUACUCUGUCGAAAUGCUAUUAUCCAUUACAAAUUCGAAUUCAUAAGCUAUGUUCCUUUCCAAAACGUGCAGGGCGACUUUGGAUUGGGAUCUACCCCCUCUGUCCCAAAAUUCUUAUCUUAAAUUUGUCUAAAUUCUUAUCUUAAAUUUGUCUAAAUAUGAAUGUAUCAAGUUACAUUUUAGUAUUAGAUAUAUCCAUAUCUAGACAAAUUCAAGACAAGAAUUUUAAGACGGAGGAAGUACUACACUAGCAUUUUGGGUCAAACAAAUGAGAUACUAGUGGAGAUUGCUAUUUUCUUUUCUUUUCUUUUUUUGCUUUUCUCUUGCACAUGGCAUUUUGUAUCUAAGGAAUGCGACACUAACCAAAUGACCUGAAUAGACUGAUUUUGAAGCGCUUGUCCAAUUAGAAGAAUUGGAUGCAAAAAAAUGCAUUUUCCGAGGCACAAAAAUAGAAUAAGAAAAGAUAUGAACCUUCAGCUUGUUAAUUUCUGUGUGCCAAACAAAUUGGUGUAGCCAGUUUACAGAAAUUAGAUAUGGAAGGCUUUUUAUCUCAUCAAUCAGCAGUAUCGCCACAAGAAUUUGUCUUCACCCCAUCCUCGUUGCUAUUAUUAUUAUUGCACUCAUUCUACGAACCCCAUCCCACCAUAAAUAAAAUUACUCUGCCAUUAUGUGGACGUGACAAUCCUAUGGGCCAAAAAAUGAUCACCCUAGAGGUCCAAAAUUGUAAGGAGAAAACAGCCAUUGCAGAGUCCUUUCU